AACAGCUUCCGGUUUAGUGAACGACGACAAUGGCUAUGACAGCAGAGUCUGCGAGAGUAACAACAAUAAAUAAACAGUCAGGAGGUGGUUUAUACUGUUGCGUGGAAGGAUGCCACUGUGCACAUGUCAACUGUUUCGGUGAAAUUUUUGUUUUCGCUUCCGCGGGUAGGUAUAUGGAAAGAGCAAGACGAGUGGCGAACGGCUCUCAUUGACCGUUCAGACUAAAAUUUAAAUCCUCAGACUUAAACUAUAGAAGUCUGAGGUCUGAGCUAUUGAGGGCCAAGAUUUGUUUGAAGCGGAAGUCUGACUGUCAAUUGCAAAGUCAAGCAGCGGAGAACUUCGAUAGAGGCCGAGCUUUAUUAUUAUAGCCAUCCACCUAUAAUAUAUACACGUCAGUGCGGUGAUGAUGCAAAGAUUUAGUGGCGGUUGUUGUGCAGCAAUCUCUCUGUCCAACUAUAGUCGAUAAUGCUGCUGCUGUGAAUGAGAUGAUCUGAAGACUGUUCCGUCGGGGAUGAUGGAAGGCGUAGGGGAUUGGUAUUUUACGCCAAGAGGCGCUGAAUAUUUGCUACUUCUUCUGCUACAUGAGUGCUUGCAAAAAUGGUUCUUUAACAGGUAACCUGCUUUAUUGAUAAGACUGUCUGGAGACGCCAGGUAUGUCUCUCCUAGGUCUGAAAGGACAGCAACUGUGUAGACUUGCUGGAUAACAAACUUUGUACUUAGUUUCACUACAG